AUGCUCCUUGGGCUCCAGCGGCGCCGGCGGCACUUGCUGCGACGCCUCGGGCUCCAAGCCGGCGGCGGCGGCGGGAGGAGGAGGAGGAGGCGGCGGCGGCGGCGGCAGCAGGUGAGCGGGCGCCUGCACCCCGCCGCCUUGGCCCAGGUGAGGCUCCAGGGCGAGCUCGGGCUCCAGGAAAUCCUGGAUCUCCUGCGCUUGCGGCAAGGCGCCUUGCGGCAGCACCUCCAUGGCCUCGGGCUGCAGCUGCGCCCGCAGCCGGGGCGAAGCCUGCGGCUCCAGCGCCUGCGAGCGCACGUGCGCUUGGUGCAGGUGAGCUUCGAGCGCUUGCAGCUGCAGCUGCGGCGACGGGGCGCCCGGCGGCGGCGGCGCCAUGCGCUGCUGCUGCUCCAAGAGGUGCACGUCCAGCGGCGCCCGGCCCUUGGCCCGCGGGUGCAGCUGGCUCUGCGUGUGCGUCAACACCGAYUGCAACAGCUGACCCUGCGCCGGGGCGCCCGGAGCCGGCGCCAAAGCCAACGGAGCCAAAUCGGGCGCCGAAUCCAACAGCAAGCCGUGGGGCUCCAGGGCGGGCGCUUCGGCCACCAGGCGCCCGUGCUCGGGCGUCUUCUGCAGGUAGGAGUGAGCUUGGGGCAGCUCCUUGCCGCCRCCGCCGCCGCCGUCCAGGUGGSCGCCUUGCAGGUGCUCCACCGACUUCUUCAUGUCCUGCCCGUAGGAGUCGAGGGCGCCCGCUUGGUGGCCGUAAUGCACCACCGAGGUGGCCARAGCCUCCGGGGUGGAGCGGGCGUGCGGAUAGUCCUUGGGCCGCUCGUUCUUCUUCUUCUCCUUGAGGCCCUGCAGCGAGAGCUCCAGCGCUUGGCUCUCCAGGUUGGAGUUGGGCCGGAUGACGCUCUGCAGGUGGUAACGUUCCUCGGGUUUGGCCAGAGCGCCGUAAGCCGCCAGGGCUUUGGCGCCGCGCUCCUCGCACUGCGCCAGCCCCUCGGCCGGUCCCCGCGGCGGGCUGGGAGCCUGCAGCAGGUGCUGGAUGAGGAAAUCCUCGUCCUCGGUGCGCUCGGCGCCCAGCAGGUCGGCUUCGCUCUUCGCCUUGCCGUACGCCGCCCCUCGUUCCAAAGCCGCCGGCGCCGCGCCGUAACCCGGCCCCGGCCCYGGCGCCAUGAAAGAAGGCGAAAGCACCGAGCCGAGGUAUUUUUGCGACUGGCCCGGCGAGGCCACGCUCUGCGGGCGGUUGGCCGGAGGCGACUGCAAGGGGCGGAUGAUCUGCGAAGGGCUGGAGUCGUUGAGGCUCUGGCCGUGGGCGUAAGCGAGGCCUUGGCCGUGCGCCGGCAUCGCCGGCGAGUGCCCGGUGCUGUAGCUGAGCGAGGGGCUGGCGGUGGGCAAACCCUGCGAGUGCGGCGGCCCGUAACCCGCCGCUUGGCUCACCUCGGGUUGGACGCCGUACGGAAGCGCUUGGAGCUGUUCCGGCGAGUAAGUUUGACUCUGGCUGACGCACGGUUGUAA
rnacentral:lncRNA from 1 species